rfam:Hanseniaspora uvarum DSM 2768 Contig_321, whole genome shotgun sequence.
UCAGUGUUGGUUUCUAGGACCAUCGUAAUGAUUAAUAGGGACGGUCGGGGGCAUCAGUAUUCAGUUGUCAGAGGUGAAAUUCUUGGAUUUACUGAAGACUAACUACUGCGAAAGCAUUUGUCAAGGACGUUUUCAUUAAUCAAGAACGAAAGUUAGGGGAUCGAAGAUGAUCAGAUACCGUCGUAGUCUUAACCAUAAACUAUGCCGACUAGGGAUCGGGCGGUGCCUUUUAUUGGCCCACUCGGCACCUUACGAGAAAUCAAAGUUUUUGGGUUCUGGGGGGAGUAUGGUCGCAAGGCUGAAACUUAAAGGAAUUGACGGAAGGGCACCACCAGGAGUGGAGCCUGCGGCUUAAUUUGACUCAACACGGGGAAACUCACCAGGUCCAGACACAAUAAGGAUUGACAGAUUGAGAGCUCUUUCUUGAUUUUGUGGGUGGUGGUGCAUGGCCGUUCUUAGUUGGUGGAGUGAUUUGUCUGCUUAAUUGCGAUAACGAACGAGACCUUAGCCCUUAAAUAGAGUUGCUGGCAUUUGCUGGUAAAUCUUCUUAUGGGGACUAUCGAUUUCAAGUCGAUGGAAGUUUGAGGCAAUACAGGUCUGUGAUGCCCUUAGACGUUCUGGGCCGCACGCGCGCUACACUGACGGAGCCAGCGAGCUUUUCCUUAGCCGAGAGGUUUGGGUAAUCUUGUGAAACUCCGUCGUGCUGGGGAUAGAGCAUUGUAAUUAUUGCUCUUCAACGAGGAAUUCCUAGUAAGCGCAAGUCAUCAGCUUGCGUUGAUUACGUCCCUGCCCUUUGUACACACCGCCCGUCGCUAGUACCGAUUGAAUGGCUUAGUGAGGCUUCAGGAUUUGCUUAGAUCGAGGGGCAACUCUCUUUCAGAGCGGAGAAUCUAGUCAAACUUGGUCAUUUAGAGGAACUAAAAGUCGUAACAAGGUUUCCGUAGGUGAACCUGCGGAAGGAUCAUUA